GCCCUGGGGGUGCAAAUUUCCAGCUGUCCCAUUCCCUCCCACGCAGCGGCUCACCCUGAAGGAGGUGUUUGAGGAUGGGAAGCCGAGGCUCGACGUCCUCAAGAGCCACUUGGUGAAGGAAGGGCGGCUGGAGGAGGACGCGGCGCUCAAGAUCAUCAACGACGGCGCCGCCAUCCUGAGGCACGAGAAGACCAUGAUCGAGGUGGAGGCCCCUAUCACAGUGUGUGGUGACAUCCACGGGCAGUUUUUUGACCUGAUGAAGCUGUUUGAAGUUGGAGGAUCACCCAAUAACACCCGCUACCUCUUCCUGGGAGACUACGUGGACAGAGGCUACUUCAGUAUAGAGUGCGUGCUGUAUUUAUGGAGUUUAAAGAUAAAUCACCCCAAAACGUUGUUCCUCCUUCGAGGGAACCACGAGUGCAGGCACCUCACAGAAUAUUUCACCUUCAAGCAGGAAUGUCGAAUCAAGUACUCGGAGCGAGUGUACGACGCGUGCAUGGAUACCUUUGACUGUCUUCCUCUUGCUGCCCUCCUAAACCAGCAAUUCCUGUGUGUCCACGGAGGACUGUCUCCAGAAAUCACGUGUCUAGAUGACAUUAGGAAAUUAGACAGGUUUAAGGAGCCUCCAGCCUUUGGUCCAAUGUGUGACCUGCUCUGGUCUGAUCCCUCGGAGGAUUAUGGCAAUGAGAAAACACUGGAGCAUUUUGCCCACAACACUGUCCGAGGCUGCUCCUAUUUCUACAGUUAUCCUGCAGUGUGUGAAUUUUUGCAGAACAAUAGUUUGUUAUCCGUAAUCCGAGCUCACGAAGCCCAGGAUGCUGGGUACCGAAUGUACAGGAAGAGCCAGACGACGGGCUUUCCCUCGCUAAUCACAAUCUUCUCUGCACCAAAUUACUUAGAUGUCUAUAACAACAAGGCUGCUGUACUGAAAUAUGAAAACAACGUCAUGAACAUCAGGCAGUUCAACUGUUCCCCUCAUCCCUACUGGCUUCCAAACUUCAUGGAUGUCUUCACAUGGUCUUUGCCUUUCGUAGGGGAAAAGGUCACCGAGAUGCUCGUUAACAUCCUCAACAUCUGCUCCGAUGACGAGCUGAUCUCAGAUGGGGACGAGACGUUGGAAGAUCACUACAUUUCAAGCUAUCCGAAAGGUGGGACAACAGUCCGGAAGGAGAUCAUCAGGAAUAAGAUCAGAGCCAUUGGGAAGAUGGCACGUGUGUUCUCGGUUCUUCGGGAGGAGAGUGAGAGCGUGCUGACCCUCAAAGGCCUGACCCCCACAGGUACCCUGCCCCUGGGAGUGCUCUCGGGGGGCAGGCAGACCCUCCAGACCGCCACAGUAGAAGCGGUAGAGGCACGGGAAGGUAUGGCUAGAACCCGCCGAGAGACCCCAAAGCAUCUCCGUGUCCAUCCGUGGGUUCUCCCCGCAGCACAAGAUCCGCAGCUUCGAGGAGGCGCGGGGGCUGGACCGGAUCAACGAGCGGAUGCCGCCGCGCAAGGAUUCCCUGCACUCGGACGGGCCCGUGAACUUGGUAACCUCGAACUCUGCGGACAAGAACGGCACAGGGAAGAAAUCCCAGUAACGCUCCGAGCGCCCGAACCCGCACCACUAAAGGAUCCAAAACUUAAGGAAUUUUAUUUAUUUAUUAUCUGGGGGUGGGCUGGGGGCGAGGGGGGGUUGAAACCAACGUCACCCGGAGGCACGUCCAUAAGUCCAAGUUCGCAUCCGUUCUGUAAAAGGAAGGGCGACCAUUUUGUAAUUAUUUUUUUUUUUUUUUAAUUUAUGUUCAAUAUAUAUAAAAGGAGUCCAUUUUUUUUUUUUUCUUUUUUUUUUUUUUUUUAAAUUUAGAAACCAAUCCAACUGCUAGUGCAUCCCGGGAAUGUUGUGCUGUUCCAGCUGCCCUCCCCGAGAGGCCAAACCUCUGUGGAGGUCGGGGAGGGGGAUUAAAAGAAACAAAAAAAAUCAGUCAAACCAGGCAACUUGGGUCGUUGGCUUUGGGACAAUUUGGAGUUGGCCUGAGCUUUCCAAAGCAGGUCCUUCCCUUCAGGACAGGGUUGGGUUGGUUUUCCUUUUCACACCUGUUUUCUUCCCAGAUUUUCCUGUUGCUUUCAAGUCCUUGCCUACCUGCAGCUGCUGCUUUAGCAACCGAUUCCCUGGAAGGCACGUUGUUGUUGAGAUCCAUCCCUUUUCCAAGGUGACAGCAAGGAUUAGCUCUGAAGGAGUCCAGGGUGUUAACACCAAUCACGGCACCUUUUCCUUCAGGAAUCCAGCUUUAUUCCAGUGGAAUCCCAAACAAAAAUGAGGGGAAGGCAGGUGGGGGAAGCGCUGCCCCUUGUUGUGGCUCUUCCCCGGCUGUCCCGGCUUGGAGCAGCCACUUUGCUGCCCGUGCAGCAGAAUUCCCUUGGGAAUCGCUCUGAUUCAGAGCAGAGGAAUUAUCUCUGCUGUCUGAUGAUCUCUGGGAAAGCUGCCAGGCCUGAAUUUUAAAGGAAAAGGGGGUGAUUUAUAACCUGGGGAAUAACAGACCCCCUGUUGUCCCACCACCACAGGCUGCUGAGCCCGCGGCACAUUCCCUGUUCCCGGCUCUGGAAUCGGCCCUUGCUGGUCAGUUUGGGGUGGGGCCCCCUCAGUGUCACCUCCCUGUCUCCCAGGGUGUGUUUUGGGGGAUCUUCCACUCACUGUGAUUGACUUGGGGCAUCACCCACUGUCAGCCAGUGGCUAUUCCUCCGACUCCAAAGGAGCCGUGGGCACCUGAGCCUUUCCCAGCAGCUGGAAAAGAAUUGGGGAUAAGAUGUGUGGGGAUGCUGCUGGUUUCUGGGAGAUGUGGCUUGGUGCUGGUUUCAAGGCACCCCCCCAGUUUUGGGAGCACCUCCCUCGGCUGCAGGGAGGGGAGGCAGGUUUGGCAGGAGGCUGGAAGAUAAAACUGGGCAGAUCCAGUGGGAAUUUUUGAAAGGGUGCUUGUGCAGUGCUGGAGAGGGAUCUCCAGGGGCUCCCAGGGGACACCCCCUGUGUGGUGCUGGGGAUUUUGGAGCGUAGAUGUGUUCCUUUUUCCUUUGGAAAAGGGUUUUGUGAGAUUCCCGUUGGUCGCUUCCCUUCCCGUUGCCCGGAGCCAAGGAAGCAAACCCCUGGCCAGCUUUCCCUUCUUCCCCACCUUUUCCCAAGCUCGAGCCUCUCCCAAGGGAUCUUUGCCAACACUUUCCCUGGAUCUUGCUGUCUCCCCUUUGUGAUUCCAGCGCCAGAGGAAAACAGCAACUUUGCAGGAAGCUUUCAGGCUGUGUCUUAGGAUCACACCUCACUUAAUUCCACGGCGGCUCCUUAGGAUUCUGUGAGCGAACCACCGGGUUUCCACAAGUCACAUGCCUCCACUUUUCCCUCUUUUUUUUCCCCUCCUCCUGUUUUUUUUACACGCCCACCGCUUUGCAAAAAGUGCGAAAAGAGGGGUGUUUGGAGCGAGCUUCCCUCCCCCCACCCCCCCGUCCGAGGCCUGGGGCCAAAUUGCCUUUGUCUGUGAGUAUUCUUUGUUCUUUAAGGGCCUCCUUUGAUCGCCGUGAGCCCCGUGUGUGGUAUCCGAGAGCACAGACCGUGCCCGGUGCUGCCCGUGCAUGUUCGGGCGUGUUGUGCUGACCCAGGCUGGGAUCUCACCCAAGCAGCAGGUUUUAGUCGGGAGAUUUUUGGGAUGGGAGCCCCGCGGGACCCCCCGGGCCUGGCACCCCCUCCCCGCACAGGGGGGGGUCAGCAGAGCCCGGCCCAUCGCGGAGGAGGGGUUUGCUUUGCUGGCAGUUUGUCUCCCCAACCCUCUUCUCCUGCUCUGGCAUCACCAGUUCCCCCUCCCUAAAAUCCCUGUGGACCUUGUGCUUUGUGGAUUGGGGGAUCCAGAGCCACCCCUCCAUCCCUGGGGCUCGUGGGGCUGCAGCUUCCCAGUGUCCCGGCCCUGGAGAAGGUGACCAAGGGCAGGAUGUUCCCUUCCCUGUCCCAGGAGCCGUGUGGCAGCUGGCACAUGUGGAUGCCACACUUCCAGGUCCCCUCUUCCCUUAAAACCAGUUCCCGAGGGGGUGAGGAGCAGCGAUGGGGCUCUGGGUGCUAAUUACCCCCUCAAUUAACAGCCCCUGUCCGUGCUGGCAUCCCGGUGGGAACACAGAGCUUUCCCUGCCCCAGCACCGAGAUCCCCCCUCCCCUCUUUUGGGGAAGAGGGUGACGACAACCUCGGAGCAGAAUUCCCUGCCCUGACUCCCCCACCACAACAAACCAAAAAACAAUCCCUAAAACCCCCCAAAUUCCCGUGUUACUCCUCUCUUUCUCCUCAAACCCGGCCCCUCAGAGCUGUGCACAUCCCAAGACCCCUCAAUCUCAGAGCUCCUGCCCAUCCCUUCCCCUCCCCGGCUGCCACCUGGAGCUUGGACAACCGGGAUUCUGGGAAGCCCACCGGCCUUGGGGGAGCCCCCACCUCCCCUGGGGAGCCCCCAAAUCCAGGGAAGCCCCCACGUCCCCACAGCCUGGGUUUUUUUGCAUGUUCUAGCAAGGUGCAUGUCCAAGGAGGGGAGUCGGCAACGGGGCGGGUGGUGGGUUCGAGUUCAGGCUUAAUUUUAUUUUUUGGGAUUGGGAGAACCUCUCUGGCUGCCUCUGGCACAGAUCCCACCUGGCCAGGUGAGCUGGGGUGGGAUGCAGAUCCCACCAACCUCGGCCAGGGAGGACCUGAAGCCCCACAGGGGGUGCAGUGAUGGUGAUUUUGGGGUUCUCAGUGCUGAAGGAUCAUAUGCCCGUUGCCUGGAGACUGCCUCCUUUUUAAUUUUUAAUUUUUAUUUCUUGCUUUUAUUUUGUUGUUUUUUUUUUUUUUUUUUAGUUCUGUCGAAAGGAGAAAAAAAAUGGUGAAAAUGUUAUUUAUUGGCAGAAAUUAUUUAAUAUAAUUUCUUUUUUUUUUUUGUGAAACAAGGAAUGAAUUUGUUAGAACUGUCUCGAUGUAAAUCGGAGUCAUCUUUAAGGAGGAAAAAAAAAGAAAAAAAAAAGAUAAAAAUUGACACAGUCA